GACGUAGGGGCCAGCGUUGUUCGGAAUUACUGGGUGUAAAGGGUUCGUAGGCGGUGUGGCAAGUCGGGAGUGAAAUCUCUGGGCUCAACUCAGAGACUGCUUCCGAAACUGCUGUGCUGGAGUGUGGGAGAGGCGCGUGGAAUUGCAGGUGUAGCGGUGAAAUGCGUAGAUAUCUGCAGGAACACCCGUGGCGAAAGCGGCGCGCUGGACCACUACUGACGCUGAGGAACGAAAGCUAGGGAGC
rnacentral:rRNA from 1 species